CCCUUAGAUGUUCUGGGCGGCCCGCGCACUACAUUGGCACUGGCAACAAGAUCCUAGAUCUGAUAUUUCGGGGUAUUCUACGAACUGGUGUCGUGACUGGGAUUAACCCCUGCAAUUAUUGGUUAUGAACGAGGAAUUCCUUGUAAUCACGGUUUAUCAACCCGUGUUGAAUGCGUCCCUGCCCUUUGUACACACCGCCCGUCGCUCCUACCGAUGAAUCGUCCGGUGAAGUUCAUGGAGUCGCGGCUGCUCCAGCUGUUUUCGAAGUGAAAUGGACCUCAUGAUUUAGAGGAAGGAGAANUCGUAACA
rnacentral:rRNA from 1 species